UACAGAGGUCUCAAGCGUUGUUCGGAUUCAUUGGGCGUAAAGGGUGCGUAGGCGGCGCGGUAAGUCGGGUGUGAAAUCUCGGGGCUUAACUCCGAAACUGCAUUCGAUACUGCCGUGCUUGAGGACUGGAGAGGAGACUGGAAUUUACGGUGUAGCGGUGAAAUGCGUAGAUAUCGUAAGGAAGACCAGUGGCGAAGGCAGCUCGCUGGGACGGUACUGACGCUGAGGCGCGAAAGCGUGGGGAGCGAACAGG
rnacentral:rRNA from 1 species